rnacentral:rRNA from 1 species
GGGGGAUAGCCCGGCGAAAGCCGGAUUAAUACCGCAUACGCUCUACGGAGGAAAGGGGGGGAUCUUAGGACCUCUCGCUACAGGGGCGGCCGAUGGCAGAUUAGCUAGUUGGUGGGGUAAAGGCCUACCAAGGCGACGAUCUGUAGCUGGUCUGAGAGGACGACCAGCCACACUGGGACUGAGACACGGCCCAGACUCCUACGGGAGGCAGCAGUGGGGAAUUUUGGACAAUGGGCGCAAGCCUGAUCCAGCAAUGCCGCGUGUGUGAAGAAGGCCUUCGGGUUGUAAAGCACUUUUGUCCGGAAAGAAAACUUCUGCCCUAAUACGGCGGGAGGAUGACGGUACCGGAAGAAUAAGCACCGGCUAACUACGUGCCAGCAGCCGCGGUAAUACGUAGGGUGCAAGCGUUAAUCGGAAUUACUGGGCGUAAAGCGUGCGCAGGCGGUUCGCUAAGACAGAUGUGAAAUCCCCGGGCUUAACCUGGGAACUGCAUUUGUGACUGGCGGGCUAGAGUAUGGCAGAGGGGGGUAGAAUUCCACGUGUAGCAGUGAAAUGCGUAGAGAUGUGGAGGAAUACCGAUGGCGAAGGCAGCCCCCUGGGCCAAUACUGACGCUCAUGCACGA